AUCCCAGAUAAGCUUGCUUUGGUUCUUAUCUGAUUCAUGGGAGGCAAAGAUUAAAGUUUUGGGAGUUUCGCUGAUAACGCCGCUUAUAUUUUUUCAAAGACGGCGUUUAAUAGUAGCUUCACCAUACAUUC